rnacentral:rRNA from 1 species
UACGGAGGGUGCAAGCGUUAAUCGGAAUUACUGGGCGUAAAGCGCGCGUAGGCGGUUGGGUAAGUCAGAUGUGAAAGCCCCGGGCUCAACCUGGGAACUGCAUUUGAUACUGCCCGACUUGAGUAUGGUAGAGGGGGGUGGAAUUCCCGGAGUAGCGGUGAAAUGCGUAGAUAUCGGGAGGAACACCAGUGGCGAAGGCGGCCCCCUGGACCAAUACUGACGCUGAGGUGCGAAAGCGUGGGGAGCAAACAGG